GACGUAGGGCGCGAGCGUUGUCCGGAUUUAUUGGGCGUAAAGAGCUCGUAAGCGGCUUGUCGCGUCGUCCGUGAAAAACCUGCGGCUCAACUGCAGGCUGGCGGUCGAUACGGGCAGGCUGGAGUUCGGUAGGGGGAGACUGGAAUUCCUGGUGUAGCGGUGAAAUGCGCAGAUAUCAGGAGGAACACCGAUGGCGAAGGCAGCUCGCUGGGACGGUACUGACGCUGAGACGCGAAAAGCGUGGGGGAGCAAAACAGG
rnacentral:rRNA from 1 species